rnacentral:rRNA from 1 species
GAUGAGCGCUGGCGGCGUGCCUAAUACAUGCAAGUCGAGCGAAAAGAUAAGGAGCUUGCUCCUUUGACGUUAGCGGCGGACGGGUGAGUAACACGUGGGCAAACUACCUAUAAGACUGGGAUAACUUCGGGAAACCGGAGCUACUACCGGAUAACAUUUGGAACCGCAUGGUUCUAAAGUGAAAGAUGGUUUUGCUAUCACUUAUAGAUGGACACGCGCCGUAUUAGUUAGUUGGUAAGGUAACGGCUUACCAAGGCUACGAUACGUAGACGACCUGAGCGCGAGAUCCGCCAGCCGGUAUGAGAGGCAGGUUACAGACUCCGGCGGUGAGACGCGGUAGAGAAUCCUCCGCGAGGGGGGAGUGCCUAACGUAGGAACGUCGCGUGAGUCAUGAUGGGUUUCGGCUCGGAGAACGCUGUUAGUAGGGAAGAACAAAUGUGUAAGUACCUGUGCACGUCCUGACGGUACCUAGUCAGAAAGCCACGGCUAACUACGUG